GUACACUGCUGAAGCUUUAGUAUCAUGGUCCUGAAAACUUCCAAGGCUGGAGCCUGGCAAUCUGUCUCAAUGUUUGACUGUCCUCAUGCCUCACCAACGAAUUCGUAUUCAUUAAGAACUCUACCCARAAUUUCCAUUUGGAUUGGACACCAUGAUACGGCUCAACUCCAAUACGAAUCUUCCACUUGGAACAGGCUUCUAGCACCCUCUCACAAGAAGGUUCCUUCGUUGAUAUAGAAUUACUCAGCUGCAGGGCAUCUCAGCAAGUGGYU